rnacentral:lncRNA from 1 species
GGUUGAUUUGUUACAGUAUCUUUCCAUUUUCUUUGUAAAAGUCCAUGUUUCACAGCUAUAUGUCAUUACUAGUAAUAUACACAUGUUGAAGAGUUUCCUUUGGAAGCAUAUUGGUAUUCUGUUAACCCUUAGGAAGUUGCUGUGUCAGCCGAUUGCAUGCCAUCUCAAUUGCAUCCUAUGUGGAAUUUCUCUCAUCUUUUCUCCCUGUAUUGUGAUUACUUGUGUCCUAAAUAUUCAUAUUUUUCCACUCUUUCAAUUGUUCAGCCUCCUAUCACUGGUUGUGGAUUUACUUCUAUAUUGAACAUUAUCUUCUCGUAAUUCAUUGGUA